rnacentral:rRNA from 1 species
AACGAACGCUGGCGGCAUGCCUAACACAUGCAAGUCGAACGAGACCUUCGGGUCUAGUGGCGCACGGGUGCGUAACGCGUGGGAAUCUGCCCUUGGGUUCGGAAUAACAGUUAGAAAUGACUGCUAAUACCGGAUGAUGACGUAAGUCCAAAGAUUUAUCGCCCAAGGAUGAGCCCGCGUAGGAUUAGCUAGUUGGUAAGGUAAAGGCUUACCAAGGCGACGAUCCUUAGCUGGUCUGAGAGGAUGAUCAGCCACACUGGGACUGAGACACGGCCCAGACUCCUACGGGAGGCAGCAGUGGGGAAUAUUGGACAAUGGGCGAAAGCCUGAUCCAGCAAUGCCGCGUGAGUGAUGAAGGCCUUAGGGUUGUAAAGCUCUUUUACCAGGGAUGAUAAUGACAGUACCUGGAGAAUAAGCUCCGGCUAACUCCGUGCCAGCCGCCGCCGUAA